UACGGAGGAUGCGAGCGUUAUCCGGAUUUAUCGGGUUUAAAGGGUGCGUAGGCGGAUCGUUAAGUCAGUGGUCAAAUUGAGGGGCUCAACCCCUUCCCGCCAUUGAAACUGGCGAUCUUGAGUGGAAGAGAAGUAUGCGGAAUGCGUGGUGUAGCGGUGAAAUGCAUAGAUAUCACGCAGAACCCCGAUUGCGAAGGCAGCAUGCCGGCUUCCUGCUGACGCUGAAGCACGAAAGCGUGGGGAUCGAACAGG
rnacentral:rRNA from 1 species